rnacentral:rRNA from 1 species
UACGGGGGGGCAAGCGUUGUUCGGAAUUACUGGGCGUAAAGGGCUCGUAGGUGGCCAACUAAGUCAGACGUGAAAUCCCUCAGCUUAACUGGGGAACUGCGUCUGAUACUGGAUGGCUUGAGUUCGGGAGAGGGAUGCGGAAUUCCAGGUGUAGCGGUGAAAUGCGUAGAUAUCUGGAGGAACACCGGUGGCGAAGGCGGCAUCCUGGACCGACACUGACACUGAGGAGCGAAAGCCAGGGGAGCAAACGGG